UGGGGAAUAUUGGACAAUGGGCGCAAGCCUGAUCCAGCCAUACCGCGUGGGUGAAGAAGGCCUUCGGGUUGUAAAGCCCUUUUGUUGGGAAAGAAAUCCAGCUGGCUAAUACCCGGUUGGGAUGACGGUACCCAAAGAAUAAGCACCGGCUAACUUCGUGCCAGCAGCCGCGGUAAUACGAAGGGUGCAAGCGUUACUCGGAAUUACUGGGCGUAAAGCGUGCGUAGGUGGUCGUUUAAGUCCGUUGUGAAAGCCCUGGGCUCAACCUGGGAACUGCAGUGGAUACUGGGCGACUAGAGUGUGGUAGAGGGUAGCGGAAUUCCUGGUGUAGCAGUGAAAUGCGUAGAGAUCAGGAGGAACAUCCAUGGCGAAGGCAGCUACCUGGACCAACACUGACACUGAGGCACGAAAGCGUGGGGAGCAAACAGGAUUAGAUACCCUGGUAGUCCACGCCCUAAACGAUGCGAACUGGAUGUUGGGUGCAAUUUGGCACGCAGUAUCGAAGCUAACGCGUUAAGUUCGCCGCCUGGGGAGUACGGUCGCAAGACUGAACUCAAAUGAAUUGACGGGGUCAUAGC
rnacentral:rRNA from 1 species